rnacentral:rRNA from 1 species
UUAAAGAGAGUUUGAUCCUGGCUCAGGACGAACGCUGGCGGCGUGCCUAAUACAUGCAAGUCGAACGAACCGAAGAAAGAGCUUGCUCUUUCCGACGUUAGUGGCGGACGGGUGAGUAACACGUGGGCAACCUGCCUGUAAG